rnacentral:rRNA from 1 species
CGGCAGCACGGGGGCAACCCUGGUGGCGAGUGGCGAACGGGUGAGUAAUACAUCGGAACGUGUCCAGUCGUGGGGGAUAACCAGUCGAAAGACUGGCUAAUACCGCAUGAGAUCGAGAGAUGAAAGCAGGGGACCGCAAGGCCUUGCGCGAUUGGAGCGGCCGAUGUCGGAUUAGCUUGUUGGUGAGGUAAAAGCUCACCAAGGCGACGAUCCGUAGCUGGUUUGAGAGAACGACCAGCCACACUGGGACUGAGACACGGCCCAGACUCCUACGGGAGGCAGCAGUGGGGAAUUUUGGACAAUGGGGGCAACCCUGAUCCAGCCAUGCCGCGUGUGUGAAGAAGGCCUUCGGGUUGUAAAGCACUUUCGGACGGAACGAAAUCGCGUCGGUGAAUAUCCGGCGUGGAUGACGGUACCGUAAGAAGAAGCACCGGCUAACUACGUGCCAGCAGCCGCGGUAAUACGUAGGGUGCGAGCGUUAAUCGGAAUUACUGGGCGUAAAGCGUGCGC